CUAAAACUCCCAGAAUCCAGUUGUCUGGGUUGCAGGGUGGUUGGAGCUAUAGGCAGUAAGCUGAGGCAGUCAUCAGAUGGCUUUACCCAUGGAGAUUUUUGUUGCUGGCUAAUAUAUUAUAUAUUCUUAGAACUGGUUUGAUUAAGAAAAAAAAGCUGUUGGUGUGGUGACUGGAAGUCUAAUAACAAUCACCACAAUAGAUAUCUGCAGUCCCUGAACCACUUUUCAGGCUUGAAUCUCUUUACUUUUCUUCUUUCUUAUUGUGUGUCUCCAAGUCCUGAGUCUACUGGGGUUAUGUAGAAAAAAAGUUUUAAACACUUUUUGGGAAAUAAUUGCAAAGUUACAGCUAAAUUAUAAGAAAAAAAGAAGAGUUCUAUACAUUUUUACCCAGGUUCUCAAAUUUUUAAAAUUUUGUCAGAUUUGUUUUCUAUAUAUACAUAUCAAUAUUUUUCCUUAAGCUUUGAGAAUAAGUUGCAUACAACAUGGUCCUUCUCUAAGUACUUCAGAGUAUAUUCAUUCACAAAGUAGAUACUUCGGUAUGUACAGAGGUUACUAACUUCAGCAAAUUUAACAUUACUAAAGAAAUUUUAUUGAAUCUUCUUUCUGCAUGUCAAUUCUGUCAAUUUACCUAGUAAUGUCCUUUAUAGCACUGUCGUCCCUGGAGUACUGGUCUACCAUAAGACCACAUGCCAUAAUUGGAUAGUAUGCCUCUGUAGUCUCCUUUAACAUUUGAAAUUUUUCAGCAACUUUUUGCCUUUUAGAAUACUGAUUUGUUUUUUAGAAAUAUACUUCAGGCCAUUUGUAGACCCUAUUUUCUCACAUGGAACUUCUCUCUCUAGAUCUUACCUAUGUUCAAACUUUGAAGGGUAUUUUUAGAUCUAAGAGAUCUGGGUCUUUAAAGUCAGUCUGGGCCAGAAUCAGGCUGCAAAUGCCAAAGCGAGAGAUGUCAGAAAUGAAUUGCGGGUCUUUGCCAAACAGAGCAUCAUCUGGCAGUGAAAGGAGAGCAGAAGAGGGGAUUUUGAAGUCUUAGAGAAAAUUCUAUGUCAGCAUGUCAGAACUUACGGAGGUACCUCAUUUUUAAAAUGGCUGUAAGAUUGAAAAGUAGCAGUUGCCCUGGAACAUGGCAGAGCUUCCUGCACACUUCUGACAACUUGAUUGAACACCCUUGGGGAAGUCCAUGGCGUCGCCUAUGACAGAGUCCGUGUAGGCAAAUCCCAGCCUAUGCUAGAAUUUAGCUUUUAAAAAGCAACCUAUGUAGAACACAAGAUUGUAAACUAUAAGGAGAUUCUAACACCAAAAGAAAGUGUGACUUGAGCCAAUGAAAUGCCAAAAUCCAGUUCUAGCUGACAACGUCAGUGGUGGGGGACAGAAUUCCACUUGCCAGUUGAGGACAAAGCAUGUGGAUUCGUGACUGUAACAGCAGAUACCCCACUACCAAUGACCAAAUCCCAUGCACAUUCCUGUUCUCCAGUCACUUUUUCUCCAUAAAUGUUUGUUGUGUAAAAUUAAAAUCUUCCCAAAUAUUAACAAGUAAA